rnacentral:rRNA from 1 species
UACGUAGGGGGCAAGCGUUGUCCGGAAUCAUUGGGCGUAAAGCGCGUGUAGGCGGCUCGAUAAGUCUGCUGUGAAAGUCCAGGGCUCAACCCUGGAAUGCCGGUGGAAACUGUCGAGCUAGAGUCCGGAAGAGGCGAGUGGAAUUCCUGGUGUAGCGGUGAAAUGCGCAGAUAUCAGGAGGAACACCAAUGGCGAAGGCAGCUCGCUGGACGGUACUGACGCUGAGACGCGAAAGCGUGGGGAGCAAACAGG